UGUUUAAAUAACAACAUAAAUAACACAUGUUUACCAUAACUAGCAUAGAAUUCACUUUAUCAUUUGCAUACCUAUCUGCUACUUAAAAUAUCGAAUAAAAUGUUAUCAACAUUGUGGAAGGUAAACUAACAUUCAUGUGACGUUAUUGUCAUUUUAAAACAGAUUAUUUAAACAAAUAAUUUCAAUGUAACUUACACACACUUGUCGGUCACAUCGUACAAAACUUAUAUAAAAUCAUAAUUUGAUUUAAAUUUGUAAUUAUGAACUGCAUUGUUUUCUCAAUCCUUUUUACUUUUCUGUGGGUUUGGAACAUCAGCACAGAGGCGCUAAUUGUGUGUCCUCCACAUCCAUGCCAAAAUGUCACUUGUAAGCCGCCUCCCAAAUGUGAUGGCCCCAAUUACGAGAUAGGACCUGGAGGUUUUUGUGGAUGUUGUAAACAGUGCAUUCAUAUUUUGCAACAAAACGAAAGCUGCUGGAUGACACAAAUAAGGGGUCCAAGUCCACCAUCCGAAAAAUGUGCUACAGGACUGACAUGUAAGGAUGGAAUAUGUCAAAAGUAAUUUUUGCCGAAAUUCCAAUAUACAUAUAAAACACGUUUAUUUACAAACAUUGCUGUAUUUUAUUCUAUUAAUAUAAAACUAAUUAAUUAUUAAUAAAUUUAAUUUUUCCGA